CCUGAAACGUUUUGGGGACACGAUAGUCCUAAUCACAAACGUGCUUCAGAAUAGUGGUACAGCUACUGUACAGGAUGCAGGAUAUUCAUGGCCUGGUUUCAAAGCUCACCAGUAAAACCAAUGAUGGCAACAGAGCUGCAUGCAGAAAGUGUGGAUAUGCUGGUCAUCUAACAUUCCAGUGCAGAAACUUCAUCAAAUCAGACCCAGAGAAGGAUGUGGUAUUGGAUGUCAGCAGUACCAGCUCCGACUCCAGUGAGGAGUUUGUUUCCCCUCUCACUAAGCUCGCACAGAGUAAG